rnacentral:rRNA from 1 species
UCGAAGGUAGCAUAAUCAGUAGUUUUUUAAUUGAAAACUAGAAUGAAGGAUUUAACGAAAUAUUUACUGUAUCAUUAAAAAUUUAUUAGAAUUUUAUAUUUUAGUAAAAAAGCUAAAAUAAAAUUUAAAGACGAGAAGACCCUAUAGAGUUUUAUAAAUUAUUUUUAUAUUUAAAUAAUAAUUUUAUAAAAUAUAAAUUUUUAAUUUAUUUUAUUGGGGUGAUAAUAAAAUAUAAUAAUCUUUUAAUUAAAUAUUAACAAAAUUUAUUGAAUUAUUGAUCUUAUUUUAUAGAUUAUAAGAUUAAAUUACCUUAGGGAUAACAGCGUAAUUUUUUUGGAGAGUUCUUAUUGAUAAAAAAGUUUGCGACCUC